rnacentral:rRNA from 1 species
UACAUGGGGUGCAAACGUUGCUCGGAAUUAUUGGGCGUAAAGCGCACGUAGGCGGUUUGUUAAGUCGGAUGUGAAAGCCCCGGGCUCAACCUGGGAGGUGCGCUUGAUACUCGAGGGCUUGAGUGCGGGAGAGGAGAGUGGAAUUCCCAGUGUAGAGGUGAAAUUCGUAGAUAUUGGGAAGAACACCGGUGGCGAAGGCGGCUCUCUGGACCGUAACUGACGCUGAGGCGCGAAAGCGUGGGGAGCAAACAGGG